GAUGAACGCUGGCGGCGUGCCUAACACAUGCAAGUCGAGCGAACAGACGAGGAGGUUGCUCCCCUGGCGUUAGCGGCGGACGGGUGAGUGACAUGUCGAUAACCCACCUAUAAGACGGGGAUAACCUCCUGAAACCGGUGCUAAUUACGGAUUAUCUCUUCAACCGCAUGGUUGGAACGUGAGAGACGGUUUUGAUGGCAUUUAUACAUGGAUCCGGGCCGCAUAGGUUAGUUGGUGGGGUAACGGCUUAACAAGGCGACGAUGCGUAGCCGACCUGAGAGGGUGAGCAGCGACACUGGAACUGAGACACGGUCCAGACUCCUACGGGAGGCAGCAGUGGGGAAUAUUGCACAAUGGGCGAAAGCCUGAUGGAGCAACGCCGCGUGUAUGAAGAAGGGCUUCGGGUCGUAAAACACUGUUAGUGGGGAGGAACGAAUGUAUAAGUAACGAUGCACGUAUUGACGGUACCUGAAGAAAAAGCACCGGCUAACUACGUG
rnacentral:rRNA from 1 species